rnacentral:rRNA from 1 species
UAGGGGAUGAAGCAUCCUCGUCUUAUUCGCAAACUUUAAAUAGGUAAGAUGUCUGGGUUACUUUAUUGAACCCCGGCAAUGAAUGAGAGCUCCAUGUGGGCCAUUUUUGGUAAGCAGAAUUGGCGAUGCGGGAUAAACCGAAAGCUGACUUAAGGCGCCCAACUAUGCACUAACCUAGAUCCCUAAAAGGGUGUUGAUUCAUAUAAACAGCAGGACGGUGGUCAUGGAAGCCGAAAUCCGCUAAGGAGUG